AACGAACGCUGGCGGCAUGCCUAACACAUGCAAGUCGAACGAGACCUUCGGGUCUAGUGGCGCACGGGUGCGUAACGCGUGGGAAUCUACCCUUGGGUUCGGAAUAACUUCUCGAAAGGGAUGCUAAUACCGGAUGAUGUCGUAAGACCAAAGAUUUAUCGCCCAGGGAUGAGCCCGCGUAGGAUUAGCUAGUUGGUGAGGUAAAGGCUCACC
rnacentral:rRNA from 1 species